rnacentral:rRNA from 1 species
UACGUAGGGUGCGAGCGUUAAUCGGAAUUACUGGGCGUAAAGUGUGCGCAGGCGGCCGCGCAAGUCGAGUGUGAAAUCCCCGAGCUUAACUUGGGAAUUGCGCUCGAAACUACGUGGCUGGAGUGUGGCAGAGGAGGGUGGAAUUCCACGUGUAGCGGUGAAAUGCGUAGAGAUGUGGAGGAACACCGAUGGCGAAGGCAGCCUCCUGGGCCAACACUGACGCUCAUGCACGAAAGCGUGGGGAGCAAACAGG